GCCUUCGUGGUGUAGCGGUCAGCACGUUCGACACGCAACAGAGGUGUCCGUGGUUCGAUUCCCGGCGAAGGUU
rnacentral:tRNA from 1 species